rnacentral:rRNA from 1 species
CCUACGGGAGGCUGCAGUGAGGAAUAUUGGUCAAUGGGCGGAAGCCUGAACCAGCCAAGUCGCGUGAGGGAAUAAGGCCCUACGGGUCGUAAACCUCUUUUGCCGGGGAGCAAGGGCGGGGACGUGUCCCGGCCCGGAGAGUACCCGGAGAAAAAGCAUCGGCUAACUCCGUCCCUGCAGCCGCGGUAAUACGGGGGAUGCGAGCGUUAUCCGGAUUUAUUGGGUUUAAAGGGUGCGUAGGCGGGCUUUUAAGUCAGCGCGAAAAAUUCGGGGUUAAAACCCGUCCGGCCGUUGAAACUGGUGGCCUUGAGUGGGCGAGAAGAAGGCGGAAUGCGUGGUGUAGCGGUGAAAUGCAGAGAUAUCACGCAGAACCCCGAUUGCGAAGGCAGCCUUCCGGCGCCCUACUGACGCUGAGGCACGAAAGUGCGGGGAUCGAACAGGAUUAGAUACCCCAGUAGUC